rnacentral:rRNA from 1 species
UAAAAGUCGUAACAAGGUUUCCGUAGGUGAACCUGCGGAAGGAUCAUUACCUAGAGUUGUAGGCUUUGCCUGCUAUCUCUUACCCAUGUCUUUUGAGUACCUUACGUUUCCUCGGUGGGUUCGCCCACCGAUUGGACAAAUUUAAACCCUUUGCAGUUGAAAUCAGCGUCUGAAAAAACUUAAUAGUUACAACUUUCAACAACGGAUCUCUUGGUUCUGGCAUCGAUGAAGAACGCAGCGAAAUGCGAUAAGUAGUGUGAAUUGCAGAAUUCAGUGAAUCAUCGAAUCUUUGAACGCACAUUGCGCCCCUUGGUAUUCCAUGGGGCAUGCCUGUUCGAGCGUCAUUUGUACCUUCAAGCUCUGCUUGGUGUUGGGUGUUUGUCUCCUGUAGACUCGCCUUAAAACAAUUGGCAGCCGGCGUAUUGAUUUCGGAGCGCAGUACAUCUCGCGCUUUGCACUCAUAACGACGACAUCCAAAAGUACAUUUUUACACUCUUGACCUCGGAUCAGGUAGGGAUACCCGCUGAACUUAAGCAU